UUUAACAGAACGAGGCUGAGGUGGAUUAUUAGAGUGACGUGGACGACACUAGGAGAGAGAGAGACGCACAUGGGUAGCACAUGACCUUCCAACGGUCAUCUUCUUCCCCCUUUUCUUCUAUAAAACAGAGCAUGGACAUGAGGGGAAAGAUGAAGGGUAUGGGAGCUUCUCCAACAGUUGCAGCUUGCGUGAAAGGCUAAGGGAAAGACAAAGAAGCUUCUCCAACUGCUAUAACUCCUUGGGUUCGAAGGUUAUGGGGGAUUUAGCGAAGGUUCCUCUACCUGUUCUGGAUCUGGAAGGCGACUCCACAGGUCCAAGCCACUGAAGAUUCUUUGCGAUUGCGGAGUUGAAGCUCCCCUUGUAGCAUCAGGGACACCAUACAGUCAUGGAAGAGUGUUUUAUGGUUGUGGAUUGUACAAGGUAUAUGGCAAGAAGCAGUGCAGAUUCUUUAAAUGGGUUGACGAAGUCGAUGGUCAUGCAGUGGAAGAUAGGGAAGACAAGGUUGUUCGGGCAUUGACAAGAAAAAUUGUGGAAAUGAGGAAGACACAAGGGCAAUUGCAAAUGUUUUUAGCAAUUGCCAUAUUUGCAUUGUUGUUUGUACUGUUCUUGUAUGUAACCAAGUAGGGGGAAAUGGGUUAUGGGAAAUAAUUGUAGCUUAAUCAAUGUAAAAAUUAUGUGUUGUGCCUUGUGAAAUAAUUGUAGCACGAAAAUUGUGAAAUAUAAGUUGGAGUCUCAUUCUGUGGAAAUUUGGUAGUGAGUUUGCUAUUAAA